ensembl:lncRNA
AUCUUAUUGUUACAUUUUGGUUGUCUUUCAUCCCUCAGGUCUGUCCUUUCCAAAACCACCAAGGAUUCGAGAAAUGUCUAGCCAGGCAUUAGGAUCAGAAGAAAAUGAUUAUAAAUCCAGGUCCAGGAGUCCAUUCCAUGACUCUUUGGUCCAAAGUUCUCGCUCUCUACGCCAGUGGUCCCACACUCCCAGCCACAGCACUGUACGCCAACAGUCCCACACUUCGCACCACAGCACUUCACGCGAGAGGUCCCACACUCUGCGCCACACGACUUCACACCACCGGUCCCACACUCCGCACCACAGCACUUCACGCGAGAGGUCCCACACGCCACACCACACAACUUCAUGCCACCGGCCCCAAUCUCCGACUCACAGCACCCCACACCAGUGGUCCCGCACUCCACGCCACAGCUCUUCACGCCCAUGGGACAGCUCUCCACACCAGCGCUCCAGCUCUUCUUAUGAGUGCUCCCAAAGACCAGCUAGGGGGAACCAGCACAGAGAGGGUGGAGAGCUAUUCCCAUUAGAUAGUGGAAACUUCCAAAGGCGGGUCCUUUAUCUUCUUUCUGAUAUUCGGGCAAAGCUGUCAGAGGUGGGCCAAAACCGUGAGCCCCCAGAGUCUCAGUUCCACCUUGAGAAAAUGAACAGCAGGCGUGAGCUAAAAAAUCUGGAAGGGCAACUGGCCAUUGAAGAAAAGAGGAAUGUGAUGGUGUCUCGAUUAGUCAGGACUGGGGGUGCAGACCUUGAGGACUGUGUAAAAAAUAUGAUGAAAAGAGUUCUUACCAACAGAUUGAUGGCAACAAUGAACAUGGACGGCUCAGGAUGAAGAAGGCCUUUGGAAAAACACGGCUAUGCCGUGUUAUAAUAGGUGUUGUACAGCAGUCGAAACCUUCUGCGUCAGAGGCCGAAAUAAAGAAAUACAUGGGCAGCUAUCUCCGGUCUGC